UACGUAGGGUGCGAGCGUUGUCCGGAAUUACUGGGCGUAAAGGGUUCGCAGGCGGCUUGGCAAGUCUGAUGUAAAAGGCGAAAGCUCAACUUUCGUAAGCAUCGGAAACUGUGAAGCUUGAGUGAAGGAGAGGCAAGUGGAAUUCCUAGUGUAGCGGUGGAAUGCGUAGAUAUUAGGAGGAAUACCGGUGGCGAAGGCGACUUUCUGGCCAUAAACUGACGCUGAGGUACGAAAGCGUGGGUAGCAAACAGG
rnacentral:rRNA from 1 species